rnacentral:sRNA from 1 species
UUCUUUCAGCAUCUUUUUUGUUUGUUUUUG